rnacentral:rRNA from 1 species
CCUACGGGAGGCAGCAGUGAGGAAUAUUGGACAAUGGGCGCAAGCCUGAUCCAGCCAUGCCGCGUGCAGGAAGACUGCCCUAUGGGUUGUAAACUGCUUUUAUACAGGAAGAAUAAGCCUUACGUGUAAGGUGAUGACGGUACUGUAAGAAUAAGGACCGGCUAACUCCGUGCCAGCAGCCGCGGUAAUACGGAGGGUCCAAGCGUUAUCCGGAAUUAUUGGGUUUAAAGGGUCCGUAGGUGGAUGAUUAAGUCAGGGGUGAAAGUUUGCAGCUCAACUGUAAAAUUGCCUUUGAUACUGGUUAUCUUGAAUUGUAUUGAAGUAGGCGGAAUAUGUAGUGUAGCGGUGAAAUGCAUAGAUAUUACAUAGAACACCAAUUGCGAAGGCAGCUCACUAAGUACUAAUUGACACUGAUGGACGAAAGCGUGGGUAGCGAACAGGAUUAGAUACCCUGGUAGUCCACGCCGUAAACGAUGGAUACUAGCUGUUCGGAAGUUAAUUCUGAGCGGCCCAGCGAAAGUGAUAAGUAUCCCACCUGGGGAGUACGUUCGCAAGAAUGAAACUUAAAGGAAUUGACGGA